AGUGAACGCUGGCGGUAGGCCUAACACAUGCAAGUCGAACGGCAGCACAGGAGAGCUUGCUCUCUGGGUGGCGAGUGGCGGACGGGUGAGGAAUACAUCGGAAUCUACUCUGUCGUGGGGGAUAACGUAGGGAAACUUACGCUAAUACCGCAUACGACCUACGGGUGAAAGCAGGGGAUCUUCGGACCUUGCGCGAUUGAAUGAGCCGAUUUCGGAUUAGCUAGUUGGUGGGGUAAAGGCCCACCAAGGCGACGAUCCGUAGCUGGUCUGAGAGGAUGAUCAGCCACACUGGAACUGAGACACGGUCCAGACUCCUACGGGAGGCAGCAGUGGGGAAUAUUGGACAAUGGGCGCAAGCCUGAUCCAGCCAUACCGCGUGGGUGAAGAAGGCCUUCGGGUUGUAAAGCCCUUUUGUUGGGAAAGAAAUCCAGCUGGCUAAUACCCGGUUGGGAUGACGGUACCCAAAGAAUAAGCACCGGCUAACUUCGUGCCAGCCGCCGCCGUAA
rnacentral:rRNA from 1 species